UCAGUAGCAAAUUUACAUGAUGGAGUGCGGUCGAUUUUGUGUGUGGUUGGUGCCGGAAUAUUACUCCUUAUCGGUUUGUCUCUUUGGAACAAUAUUCAGAUGCAGAAUUGUUGUUGAUGUUGUAAUUGAAGAUGCGAAGACACGAUGUAACGAAACCGAGUAAAAAUCUACAGCUUUCUUAAACACUUGUUGAAAGUUGACAAGGCAGUAUACUACUUCAUCAAUAAGAGAAAUUCGUCUGAGUGAGAUAGAAGCCUAUCGAGUCUGACCAGCAAAGCAACUUUCCCCCACAAUGAUUGAAAGUUAGCAAGACAGAGUACAUCAUUUCAUCAAAAGAAUUCCUCGUCAUGUGCCUGGUAUUCAUCACUGAUUGAGAUAGAAGCCUAUCGAGUCUGGUCAGCAAAGCAACCUUUUAGAGACUGCUUGAACGUUAGAAAGACAGUACAUGAAUUUCAUCAAAAGAAUUUCGUCGUGGUCAUUAGUCUGAUAUUCAUCACUGAUCAAGAUGGAAGCCCAUCGAGUCUGGCCGGCAAAGCAACUUUCUAAGACACUGCUUGAAAGUUGGCAAUACAGUACAUCAUUUCAUCAAAUCCCCGUCAUUUGUCUGGUAUUCAUCACUGAGCAAGAUGAAAGCCUAUCGAAUCUGGCCAGUAUGCAGAGCAA